rnacentral:ncRNA from 2 species
CACCGCCCGUCACACUAUGGGAGCUGGCCAUGCCCGAAGUCGUUACCUUAACCGCAAGGAGGGGGAUGCCAAAGGCAGGGCUAGUGACUGGAGUGAAGUCGUAACAAGGUAACCGUACUGGAAGGUGCGCUGG